GACGAACGCUGGCGGCGUGCCUAACACAUGCAAGUCGAGCGGAGAUGUACUGAAGAUUUAUCGGAUGUACAUCUUAGCGGCGGACGGGUGAGUAACGCGUGGGCAACCUGCCUUCCACUGGGGGAUAACACAGGGAAACCUGUGCUAAUACCGCAUGACAUCACAUAGGGCAUCCUGUGUGAUCAAAGGAGUGAUCCGGUGGAAGAUGGGCCCGCGUCCGAUUAGCUAGUUGGUGAGGUAACGGCUCACCAAGGCGACGAUCGGUAGCCGGACUGAGAGGGUGUACGGCCACACUGGGACUGAGACACGGCCCAGACUCCUACGGGGGCAGCAGUAGGGAAUUUUCGGCAAUGGGCGAAAGCCUGACCGAGCGACGCCGCGUGAGGGACGAAGGCCUUCGGGUUGUAAACCUCUGUCUGGGGGAUGAGAACGGACGGUACCCCGGAGGAACGCCCGGCUAACUACGUGCCAGCAGCCGCGGUAAAGUACACGUAGUA
rnacentral:rRNA from 1 species